CUGUUUCUGGGAAUCAUUCCAGGAUUUGAUACCCCGCGGGUCACGUUUCCGCAAAGGGAAAGCCUCAAAAGGCGACGCGCAAGGGCCGAGGAGAGAAAGGAACCUGAGGAAGGCACACCAGUUUCAAGCAAUCCCUAGGCCGUGGCGACGUGCUGGGAAGGAUUCAAAUCAGGGGCGAAGCCUAGGUGACGGCGCUGUUAGUCGCCUCUAGUAGCUGCGCGACGCGGGCUGGCUUGUCCGAUCGGUUUGCCUCGGCCAUGUCGACUAAGAAAGUUCUUUGCAAGUUCUUCAUGCAUGGAGCUUGCUUGAAAGGAGAGUACUGUGAAUUCUCCCACGACUGGAGUGAUCAAGCAAAUAAUGUUUGCACAUUCUACCAAAAAGGUGCAUGCUCGUAUGGUAGCCGUUGCAGAUAUGACCAUGUCAAAGUUUCUCGUAACCCCACAGUGCCACCACCACGCCCAACGUCAAGUACUUCAAGACGUGCAUCUACUUCUCUUCAACUUUCAAGUUACAAUCAUCCACCUCAUAUGGUGCACCAAACAGAUUCAAGCAACCAAAGACAUCAGAUAUCUGUGGAUGUGUUGGCACAUUCUGCCAGUAAGCCUGCAUGGAGAAAUGAUUUUCAGCAUGAUAUUGUUUCAGAUGAUGGAAUUGACUGGUCUUCUAAUCAAAAUUUGAUAAACCAGACAUCAUUGAAACCUGUGGAUCUCCCUAUUUGUUCUUUUGCUGCUGCUGGUAAUUGUCCUUAUGGGGAAGGGUGCCCUCAAAUGCAUGGAGAUCUGUGUGCAACCUGUGGAAAACUGUGCUUGCAUCCUUAUCGUCCUGAUGAGAGGGAGGAGCAUAUCAAGUUAUGUGAGAAAAAUCACAAACGCCUUGUAGCUCUGAAACGCAGCCAAGAAAUAGAAUGCAGUGUAUGUUUGGAUCGUGUGCUUUCAAAGCCUACUGCUGCUGAAAGGAAGUUUGGACUCUUAUCCGAAUGUGAUCAUCCUUUCUGUAUUGAAUGCAUUAGAAAUUGGCGUAGCAAUUCUCCUGCAUCUGGUAUGGAUGUGAACUCAGCAUUGAGGGCUUGUCCAAUAUGUCGGAAACUUUCAUACUAUGUCAUUCCAAGUGUUCUUUGGUACUUCUCAAAGGAAGAGAAAGAGGAGAUCACUGAAAGCUACAAAUCCAAGCUCAAGUCUAUUGAUUGCAAGUACUUCGACUUUGGGACUGGCUCAUGCCCCUUCGGAACAAGUUGUUUCUAUAAGAGCGUAUUGUGCUCACUGAUGUCCUGGAUAGCUGUUUGAAGGUGCAGGAAACUUGAAGUCUUAUGAUUAUUGUUUUCCUGUGUGGCUCACGUUGCAUGCCUACAGAGAUGGCCGCUUGGAAGAGGUAAUACUGCGGCAUCUUGAUGCUGAUGAUGGAAGUACAGUAAUUGCAAAAAGUAUCAGGUUAUCAGACUUCCUUGGUAGGAUGGAUCUUUAGGGACCAGCAGCUGUAUUGAUAUCAAAUGCAUUCUGGGAUAUCGUUAUCCACCAAUUAUUUACAAUAUUCUGAAGAUCAGUUUAGCUUGAGGCAUCUUCGGAAAGUACAGCUUUGUCUCCAUUUAGUGGUUGGUUGCUUUGUCGCCAGUUGAAACAAGGCAAUCCUUAAAGUUUGAAGAUCUCCAUGGUCCUGUAGAUGCUGGGAUUACCUUUUCAGAGCACUGUUGACCUGAGGGCGACGGAAACAAGUCUGACAACAAUUGUGCUUGAAUAUCAAAACAGAAGUAAUACUCGUAUUUAUAGACUUCACUAAGUGUGGCUCUAUGUAUCAAUUGCUGGUCUUCUAGGCCACCAGAUAAUAGCUGAACAUUUCCUGGCCGACAAGUGAAAGGGGCAGCCGUAUAAAUUUGCUUCCAUUCCACCUGAAUGUUCUCUUCAUAUUGUGGAAGGGUACUGCACCAAUAGGUCCAAUAAGGCCAUUUGUUUGCUUUACUUAAUAUACAAAAAAAGUAUAGCAGAUGAAAUGCAAUGACAACUGUAAUGCAGCAUUGUUGAAUGUGAGCGUGAGCGGUGGUUUUUUAUCGAUGACCUGCUGAGGAAGGUCCUCUUAGUAGGCAGGUAAACUGAGAACAUUUUUUUGUUAUAUAUAUACAGCAUAAUUGUACGAGAAAAAUAGCAAAUGAACCGAGAAUGAUCAUUAAAUGCAGUCGUCGGUUGUAUGGUUGUAACA